rnacentral:siRNA from 1 species
CCCGACCCGAAUACCCACAUGCC